GCACUGGUAGCAUAUUGAUAAAGCAUUUGGCUGCUAAUCAAAAGAUCUGCGGUUCAAAUGCCCCAGCUGCUCCU
rnacentral:tRNA from 1 species